GAUGAACGCUGGCGGUGUGCCUAACACAUGCAAGUCGAACGAACAGACGAUAAGCUCGUUCCCUUGCCGUUAGCGGCGGACGGGCGAGUAACACAUAGAUCGCCUACUUCUAUUUCUUGGAGGAUUUCGUGAAACAACUUCCGCUACUACCGCAUAUGUCCUACGGGUUGGAUCAGUAGAUAUUGAGGCUUUUCCCGAUACAUUGAGCUGAUGUCGCAUUAGCUAGUUGGCGAGGUAAGGGCCCACCAAGGCGACGAUGCGUAGCUGAUCUGAGAGGAUGAUCAGCCACACUGGAACUGAGACACGGUCCAGACUCCUACGGGAGGCAGCAGUGGGGAAUAUUCGGCAAUGGGCGAAAGCCUGACCCAGCCACACCGCGUGAGUGAAGAAGGUCUUCGGAUUGUAAAACUCUGUUGUUGGGGAAGAACAACAGUGUGUGAAAACAUGCCCGUCCUGACGGUACCCAAAGAAAAAGCAACGGCUAACUUCGUG
rnacentral:rRNA from 1 species